rnacentral:rRNA from 1 species
CAACGUUUAGGGUUUUGAACUGCUCAGAUGAACGCUGGCGGCAGGCCUAACACAUGCAAGUCGAACGGUAGCACAGAGAGCUUGCUCUCGGGUGACGAGUGGCGGACGGGUGAGUAAUGUCUGGGAAACUGCCUGAUGGAGGGGGAUAACUACUGGAAACGGUAGCUAAUACCGCAUAACGUCGCAAGACCAAAGAGGGGGACCUUCGGGCCUCUUGCCAUCAGAUGUGCCCAGAUGGGAUUAGCUAGUAGGUGGGGUAACGGCUCACCUAGGCGACGAUCCCUAGCUGGUCUGAGAGGAUGACCAGCCACACUGGAACUGAGACACGGUCCAGACUCCUACGGGAGGCAGCAGUGGGGAAUAUUGCACAAUGGGCGCAAGCCUGAUGCAGCCAUGCCGCGUGUAUGAAGAAGGCCUUCGGGUUGUAAAGUACUUUCAGCGGGGAGGAAGGCGAUAAGGUUAAUAACCUUGUCGAUUGACGUUACCCGCAGAAGAAGC